AUGGGGCUGGGAAAGGGGCUCAGCCUGGAGAAAAGGGGGACCAGGGAGGAUCCUGUGGCUCUGCACAGCUCCCUGCCGGGAGGGGACAGCUGGGUUUGGGAUCUUAUCCCAGGGAACAGCGACAGGAGGAGAGGGAACAGCCUUGAGCUGGGCCUGGGGAGGCUCAGGAUGGAUUUGGGGGAAAAUCCAAUACUUUUCAGAUGGAAUGGGAGCAAAAAGCUUAACAGACAAACAGCUGCUGGAGAUCGCCAAGCUCCUGGACCGGCGCUGGAGGGAAAUGGCCAUCGAGUGUCUCCAGAUGGAGAUGAAGGACAUCGAGGACAUCCGGGCCAUGGAGGAGGAGGUGAUCAUGCAGAAAUUCCUGGUGCUGAGGAAGUGGAGAGACAGGGAACAGGGCAAUGGCACUGCAGAGGCUUUGCAGAGGAGCCUUGGGGAAACAGCCACCUACGAGAUCCUGCAGGCGCUGCAAGGUUUCUUGGCUCAGAGCUGAGCCAGCUGGAAGGAGGAGGAGGAGGAGGAGGAGGAAGAGGAGGUGGGAGCUUCCCAACCCAACCAUUCUGCUCCCCUGGGAUCCUGCUGGGAUUCAGGAAUGCUCGUGGCAUCACCACUCCAGAGGGAAAUUCGGGCAGGAUCCUCCAGAGAAACGGGAAUGGAAUUCUCUGUGGAUUGAAGCCACUUCCAAGACUCUCAGGAGAGGUGGAUCCUGGAAUUCUGGGCUUCACCCACAGGAAAAGCCUCUCUGGAAAAUCACAAACACUGGAAGGAACCACUUUGAUUUUUCUCAUCACCUGGAAAAUAAUUUUAUUUCCAUCAGGGAAAAAACAGGGAGAAAAAUUCCCCUGGAAACUUUUAUCCCCUUCCAAAAAAAACCCCAAGAAACUACUGAAUUGCCAGAAUCUAGAGAUGGAUUUCUUAUGGAUCAGGGAAGAAUAAUCCUAAACUUGCACCAAAUUCCUUUGCAUAAUCACUGUAUAUAUGGAAUUAUUGUAUAGCUCCUGUACAUCCAGUCCUUGUUAAGCUGUGGUUCUGCUUCCAGAAAUUCCCAAAGUUGGGAACACCUCUAUGAACUCCAGGCAGCUUGGAAUUUCCCCAUGGAAUUUCUUUUUCUGUAUAGUUUGUCUCCCAUUUUUUACCUUGUAUAAUUCUUUUUUGUAUGAGAAACUUUUUAUACUUUUAUUUUUGUUUUUUACUUGAUUUAUUCGAACUUGGAUAGAAUUUAGGUGCUUAAAUUUUAAGGAGGAGCCGAAAUCCCUGUGCUGCAGGAUUGGAAAAAAAAAUUGGGAAAACUGGAAUUUGCAGAAGAGAGGAGUGACCAGAUCCAGGAUUGUCUUGUUUUUAAGGCCGUGGGAUAUUUGGGAUCAUUUUCCUCUGUGUAUGUUUGGGAAAAGAAAACAUAACUUUAAAAAAAUAAGGAUUAAACAGGAAAAAUUUCCAUUAUUUCCAUCUGCAUUUUGGUUUUUGUUUUAGUUGGAUGAAGUGUUGGGAAGUUGUUGGAUUUCCUGGGAAGAAGAGGAGGGUGGAAUUUGUUCCUCAGCCUCUGGAAAAGCUGGAGGUGCCACCAAAGGGGUUUUUUUUGAGGGAUGGAAAUCCCAAAAUAUCCCAUUCCAACCCCUGCCAGGGGCAGGGACAUUUUCCCUAUCCCAGGUUUUUCCAAGAGGGAAACUUAGAUUUCAAACCCCACCAAUUACAGGGAAUUGCCUUGCCAUGCCAGCAAUAUCCAAAGUUGGCAAGGAUUCGUGUCGGAUCCCAAGGGACAAAAAAACCCCCACAAUUUUGGAGGCAACUUUGAUUUUAUUAGGCAGGAAAGAGAAUAAAUAGGGAAUAUCAUAAAUAUAUCA
ensembl:lncRNA